rnacentral:rRNA from 1 species
AACGAACGCUGGCGGCAUGCCUAACACAUGCAAGUCGAACGAGACCUUCGGGUCUAGUGGCGCACGGGUGCGUAACGCGUGGGAACCUGCACUUAGGUUCGGAAUAACUCCCUGAAAGGGGUGCUAAUACCGGAUAAUGUCUUCGGACCCAAGAUUUAUCGCCUUUGGAUGGGCCCGCGUUGGAUUAGCUAGUUGGUAGGGUAAAAGCCUAUCAAGGCGACGAUACAUAGCUGGUCUGAGAGGCUGAUCAGCCACACUUGGACUGAGACACGGCCCAGACUCCUACGGGAGGCAGCAGUGGGGAAUAUUGGACAAUGGGCGAAGGCCUGAUCCAGCAAUGCCGCGUGAGUGAUGAAGGCCGUAGGGUUGUAAAGCUCUUUUACCCGGGAUGAUAAUGACAGUACCGGGAGAAUAAGCUCCGGCUAACUCCGUG